UUGAAGAGUUUGAUCAUGGCUCAGAUUGAACGCUGGCGGCAGGCCUAACACAUGCAAGUCGAGCGGUAGCACAGAGAGCUUGCUCUCGGGUGACGAGCGGCGGACGGGUGAGUAAUGUCUGGGAAACUGCCUGAUGGAGGGGGAUAACUACUGGAAACGGUAGCUAAUACCGCAUAAUGUCGCAAGACCAAAGUGGGGGACCUUCGGGCCUCAUGCCAUCAGAUGUGCCCAGAUGGGAUUAGCUAGUAGGUGGGGUAACGGCUCACCUAGGCGACGAUCCCUAGCUGGUCUGAGAGGAUGACCAGCCACACUGGAACUGAGACACGGUCCAGACUCCUACGGGAGGCAGCAGUGGGGAAUAUUGCACAAUGGGCGCAAGCCUGAUGCAGCCAUGCCGCGUGUGAAGAAGGCCUUCGGGUUGUAAAGCACUUUCAGCGGGGAGGAAGGCGGUGAGGUUAAUAACCUCAUCGAUUGACGUUACCCGCAGAAGAAGCACCGGCUAACUCCGUGCCAGCAGCCGCGGUAAUACGGAGGGUGCAAGCGUUAAUCGGAAUUACUGGGCGUAAAGCGCACGCAGGCGGUCUGUCAAGUCGGAUGUGAAAUCCCCGGGCUCAACCUGGGAACUGCAUUCGAAACUGGCAGGCUAGAGUCUUGUAGAGGGGGGUAGAAUUCCAGGUGUAGCGGUGAAAUGCGUAGAGAUCUGGAGGAAUACCGGUGGCGAAGGCGGCCCCCUGGACAAAGACUGACGCUCAGGUGCGAAAGCGUGGGGAGCAAACAGGAUUAGAUACCCUGGUAGUCCACGCCGUAAACGAUGUCGAUUUGGAGGUUGUGCCCUUGAGGCGUGGCUUCCGGAGCUAACGCGUUAAAUCGACCGCCUGGGGAGUACGGCCGCAAGGUUAAAACUCAAAUGAAUUGACGGGGGCCCGCACAAGCGGUGGAGCAUGUGGUUUAAUUCGAUGCAACGCGAAGAACCUUACCUGGUCUUGACAUCCACAGAACUUUCCAGAGAUGGAUUGGUGCCUUCGGGAACUGUGAGACAGGUGCUGCAUGGCUGUCGUCAGCUCGUGUUGUGAAAUGUUGGGUUAAGUCCCGCAACGAGCGCAACCCUUAUCCUUUGUUGCCAGCGGUCCGGCCGGGAACUCAAAGGAGACUGCCAGUGAUAAACUGGAGGAAGGUGGGGAUGACGUCAAGUCAUCAUGGCCCUUACGACCGGGCUACACGUGCUACAAUGGCAUAUACAAAGAGAAGCGACCUCGCGAGAGCAAGCGGACCUCAUAAAGUAUGUCGUAGUCCGGAUUGAGUCUGCAACUCGACUCCAUGAAGUCGGAAUCGCUAGUAAUCGUAGAUCAGAAUGCUACGGUGAAUACGUUCCCGGGCCUUGUACACACCGCCCGUCACACCAUGGGAGUGGGUUGCAAAAGAAGUAGGUAGCUUAACCUUCGGGAGGGCGCUUACCACUUUGUGAUUCAUGACUGGGGUGAAGUCGUAACAAGGUAACCGUAGGGGAACCUGCGGUUGGAUCACCUCCUU
rnacentral:rRNA from 1 species